rnacentral:ncRNA from 5 species
ACCCUGUUGAGCUUGACUCUAGU